CACGCGUAAGAGCUUUGAUGCUCUCUGACCCGACGAAACCCAGAAACCCACAAGAAGAUCCGACCGGCGCUACUUCAUCCGGCCACCGAUCGACGACGGACGACCACCAUCUUCUUCGCCUCUUCGUCGCCUUUAGACUGAUGCUCUUGGAUUGUCCAUGCACCUGACAAGGACGAAGAGCCGACGGUGAAGUCCAAGCCUUCGCCGGCGAUUUCUGCAAGUUUCCGGCCACCAUUCAAGGCGCAUUCGCUACGGCUCCGCCGUGUCCUUAGGCACCGGCGACUUCUCCGACACUUCUAGGCUCGGUUUCCGUCUUGACUGCGUCUAUUGAAGUGAAAUUGGGAAGCUUGUUGGGUCGAUUGCAUCAGAAGCAUUAGUUCAUCAUCAGUUGGGUUUCGGCAGUGAGUUAAUUUGGUUGGAAUCGAUUUCCGAAGGACUCCAGUUACCCGAGGAACAGAAAGUUCGCAACUCUCGGAGUACGUGAGAGAAAGCAUCGGAAUCCAGGUAGGGAUUCAGGACUCUCCUCGGUUAGUGAUUUUCUUAUAUUGUUAUUAAAUGAUGCAUGUUAGUUGGUAUGGUUUGGUUAUGUUCAAAUGCAAUGCAUACUAACCCAACCAUGUGAGAAAUGUGAUGGCUUGAGAGCGAAGGGUGGCUCUGACUUCCUUGGGUUCGAUCCCCAAAACCUCCGGAGGGUUAGUUACACCGGUCGGACGGUGAGCGAUCGCAAUGACGACCCGAUCCGUGUGUGUAGCUAGGUAGCGGACGCUCUCGCUACGCUUACCUGGUGAUAAAUUAAAUUGAGGUAAGGUCGUGUAGUGGGUCUAUGGGACCGGCCAUCAGGUAAAACUUGGAUUUGGCGCCGUAGUUGUUUAAGCAUCAUGCAUCAAUUUUCAAGUUGAAAAACAUUAAAGUUUGUCGUUUCUUUUAAACACUUGGUUUAAGCAUGUUUUCAUACUGAGGCCUCAAUAAUUUAUUUAUCGAUUUUCAAAUCUAGUCGAGAUAGAGUUCCUGUUGAGCAGCGAGGACGAAAGCUCACCCCUACAACAGUGUGGAUGCAGGUACUGUGCACUGGUGACGGGACAAUAGCGGAAUGAGCUGGGUGUGCGGAAAUAAGUUCGGUAAAUCGUCGUUUGAACCUUAUUCUAAAUUGUAUUUCUCGAACUUCGUAUUCCGAGACUUGUUAUUAGUUAGCCUUGUGUCAAUGUUGGUUGAGUUCUCAUUUCCUUGGAGUUCGUACCUCUUGUGUGAGAACUCAUUUCAAGUUCUAGACGAAUGAAAUAAAUUUUAGCAACUCAAUUAUUUUCACCUCAAAAAUAAUUGUAGCUUCCGCUGUGUUUCUACGAAAAGUUUUCAAACAAAAUGCCUAGCGGUUCUCUAGAAUGUAAAUCGAGUGUUCGGUUUAUGUUUUAGAGGCUCGCGGCACUGUGACGUGCUUAAGCUGGUGAGGUGCAGCUUGGGGCGUUA